rnacentral:tRNA from 5 species
GGGCUUAUAGUUUAACGGUAAAACACACCCUUCGCAUGGGUGAGAUCUGAGUUCAAUUCUCAGUAAGUCCA